rnacentral:rRNA from 1 species
CGGCCCAGACUCCUACGGGAGGCAGCAGUGGGGAAUAUUGCGCAAUGGGCGAAAGCCUGACGCAGCGACGCCGCGUGGGGGAUGACGGCCUUCGGGUUGUAAACCUCUUUCAGCAGGGACGAAGUUGACGUGUACCUGCAGAAGAAGCGCCGGCUAACUACGUGCCAGCAGCCGCGGUAAUACGUAGGGCGCAAGCGUUGUCCGGAAUUAUUGGGCGUAAAGAGCUCGUAGGUGGCUUGUCACGUCGGGUGUGAAAGCUUGGGGCUUAACUCCAGGUCUGCAUUCGAUACGGGCUGGCUAGAGGUAGGUAGGGGAGAACGGAAUUCCUGGUGUAGCGGUGAAAUGCGCAGAUAUCAGGAGGAACACCGGUGGCGAAGGCGGUUCUCUGGGCCUUACCUGACGCUGAGGAGCGAAAGCGUGGGGAGCGAACAGGAUUAGAUACCCUGGUAGUCCACGCUGUAAACGUUGGGCGCUAGGUGUGGGGACCUUCCACGGUUUCCGCGCCGUAGCUAACGCAUUAAGCGCCCCGCCUGGGGAGUACGGCCGCAAGGCUAAAACUCAAAGAAUUGACGGGGGCCCGCACAAGCGGCGGAGCAUGUUGCUUAAUUCGACGCAACGCGAAGAACCUUACCAAGGCUUGACAUUGCCCGGAAACACUCAGAGAUGGGUGCCUCUUCGGAUCGGGUGACAGGUGGUGCAUGGCUGUCGUCAGCUCGUGUCGUGAGAUGUUGGGUUAAGUCCCGCAACGAGCGCAACCCUUGUUCAAUGUUGCCAGCACGCUCCUUCGGGGGUGGUGGGGACUCAUUGGAGACUGCCGGGGUCAACUCGGAGGAAGGUGGGGAUGACGUCAAGUCAUCAUGCCCCUUAUGUCUUGGGCUGCGAACAUGCUACAAUGGCCGGUACAGAGGGCUGCGAUACCGCAAGGUGGAGCGAAUCCCUAAAAGCCGGUCUCAGUUCGGAUUGGGGUCUGCAACUCGACCCCAUGAAGUCGGAGUCGCUAGUAAUCGCAGAUCAGCAACGCUGCGGUGAAUACGUUCCCGGGCCUUGUACACACCGCCCGUCACGUCACGAAAGUCGGCAACACCCGAAGCCCGUGGCCCAACCAGCUUGCUGGGGGGAGCGGUCGAAGGUGGGGCUGGCGAUUGGGACGAAGUCGUAACAAGGUAGCCGUACCGGAAGGUGCGGCUG